CCGCGAGGUGCCAGCUGCUAAACUGACACUGUGCCAGUCUCACAACGCCCUAGACACCCCGGCGUGCUCGGACAGUGAGGAGAAUGGAAACGGGGGCUGCAGUACCAUUUGAGGAAAACAGUUAUCAAGAUGAAGAUUUACUCUGCCUCUGUAUGAAGAUUAGCUGUGAAGGUGUCCAUAUGUUCAGCAAUUCUGAGUAGAAAUACUAAGAUGCAAAGGAGGAUGCCCUGUGAUGUGAAAAUUAAGCAAAGACUGAGGUAGAAAUCCUUCACCUUUUGAAAGGUGAAGUCCUAUCCAGAUGCUGUAUAACAAUAAAAUCUACUCAAAGUA